rnacentral:rRNA from 1 species
GGCUCAUUAAAUCAGUUAUCGUUUAUUUGAUAGUACCUUACCACUUGGAUAACCGUGGUAAUUCUAGAGCUAAUACAUGCUAAAAACCUCGACUUCGGAAGGGGUGUGUUUAUUAGAUAAAAAACCAAUGCCCUUCGGGGCUCUUUGGUGAUUCAUGAUAACCUAACGGAUCGCAUGGCCUUGCGCUGGCGACGGUUCAUUCAAAUUUCUGCCCUAUCAACUUUCGAUGGUAAGGUAUUGGCUUACCAUGGUUUCAACGGGUAACGGGGAAUUAGGGUUCGAUUCCGGAGAGGGAGCCUGAGAAACGGCUACCACAUCCAAGGAAGGCAGCAGGCGCGCAAAUUACCCAAUCCCGACACGGGGAGGUAGUGACAAUAAAUACUGAUACAGGGCUCUUUUGGGUCUUGUAAUUGGAAUGAGUACAAUUUAAACCCCUUAACGAGGAACAAUUGGAGGGCAAGUCUGGUGCCAGCAGCCGCGGUAAUUCCAGCUCCAAUAGCGUAUAUUAAAGUUGUUGCAGUUAAAAAGCUCGUAGUUGAAACUUGGGUCUGGCUAGCGGGUCCGCCUCACCGCGUGCACUUGUCCGGCUGGACCUUUCCUUCUGGAGAACCUCAUGCCCUUCACUGGGUGUGUUGGGGAACCAGGACUUUUACUUUGAAAAAAUUAGAGUGUUCAAAGCAGGCCUUUGCUCGAAUACGUUAGCAUGGAAUAAUAGAAUAGGACGUGCGGUCCUAUUUUGUUGGUUUCUAGGAUCGCCGUAAUGAUUAAUAGGGAUAGUCGGGGGCAUCAGUAUUCAAUUGUCAGAGGUGAAAUUCUUGGAUUUAUUGAAGACUAACUACUGCGAAAGCAUUUGCCAAGGAUGUUUUCAUUAAUCAGUGAACGAAAGUUGGGGGAUCGAAGACGAUCAGAUACCGUCGUAGUCUCAACCGUAAACUAUGCCGACUAGGGAUCGGGCGAUGUUUCUAUCUUGACUCGCUCGGCACCUUACGAGAAAUCAAAG